rnacentral:rRNA from 1 species
CUAACGGCAGCGUACACAUGCAAGUCGAGCGGUAACAGGGGGUGCUUGCACCCCGCUGACGAGCGGCGGACGGGUGAGUAAUGCAUAGGAAACUGCCCAGUAGUGGGGGAUAGCCCGGGGAAACCCGGAUUAAUACCGCGUACGCCCUUCGGGGGAAAGCAGGGGAUCUUCGGACCUUGCGCUAUUGGAUGUGCCUAUGUCGGAUUAGCUAGUUGGUGGGGUAAAGGCCUACCAAGGCGACGAUCCGUAGCUGGUCUGAGAGGAUGAUCAGCCACAUCGGGACUGAGACACGGCCCGAACUCCUACGGGAGGCAGCAGUGGGGAAUAUUGGACAAUGGGGGCAACCCUGAUCCAGCCAUGCCGCGUGUGUGAAGAAGGCUUUCGGGUUGUAAAGCACUUUCAGUGAGGAGGAAAACUCUGCGACUAAUACUCGUAGGGCUUGACGUUACUCACAGAAGAAGCACCGGCUAACUCCGUGCCAGCAGCCGCGGUAAUACGGAGGGUGCAAGCGUUAAUCGGAAUUACUGGGCGUAAAGCGCGCGUAGGUGGUUUGAUAAGCGAGAUGUGAAAGCCCCGGGCUUAACCUGGGAACGGCAUUUC